AUUGAACGCUGGCGGCAGGCUUAACACAAGCAAGUCGAGCGGAGAUGAGGUGCUUGCACCUUAUCUUAGCGGCGGACGGGUGAGUAAUGCAUAGGAAUCUGCCUAUUAGUGGGGGACAACAUUCCGAAAGGAAUGCUAAUACCGCAUACGUCCUACGGGAGAAAGCAGGGGAUCUUCGGACCUUGCGCUAAUAGAUGAGCCUAAGUCGGAUUAGCUAGUUGGUGGGGUAAAGGCCUACCAAGGCGACGAUCUGUAGCGGGUCUGAGAGGAUGAUCCGCCACACUGGGACUGAGACACGGCCCAGACUCCUACGGGAGGCAGCAGUGGGGAAUAUUGGACAAUGGGGGGAACCCUGAUCCAGCCAUGCCGCGUGUGUGAAGAAGGCCCUAUGGUUGUAAAGCACUUUAAGCGAGGAGGAGGCUACUGAGACUAAUACUCUUGGAUAGUGGACGUUACUCGCAGAAUAAGCACCGGCUAACUCUGUGCCAGCAGCCGCGGUAAUACAGAGGGUGCGAGCGUUAAUCGGAUUUACUGGGCGUAAAGCGUGCGUAGGCGGCUUUUUAAGUCGGAUGUGAAAUCCCCGAGCUUAACUUGGGAAUUGCAUUCGAUACUGGGAAGCUAGAGUAUGGGAGAGGAUGGUA
rnacentral:rRNA from 1 species